rnacentral:lncRNA from 1 species
UAAUGCUAGAUGACACAUUAGUGGGUGCAGCGUACCAGCAUGGCACAUGUAUACAUAUGUAACUAACCUGCACAAUGUGCACAUGUACCCUAAAACUUAGAGUAUAAAAAAAAAAAAAAAACAGAAACACAUAUGAAAACGAGUAUAUAUUUAUUGCAUAAAAAUGUUGCAGCCAGGCAUGUUGUUGGCUCACAUCUGUAAUCCCAGCACUUUGGGAGGUCGAGGUGGGUGGAUCACUUGAGUCCAGGAGUUUGAGACCAGCCUGGGCAACAUGGAAAAAACCUGUCUCUACAAACAAACAAACAAAAUAGCUGAGCAUGGUGGUACACACCCCUAGUCCCAGCUACUCUGGUGGCUGGGGUGGGAGGAUUGUUAGAGCCUGGGAGGUCAAGGCUGCAGUGAGCCAUAAUCAUACCACUGUACUCAAAAAAAAAAAAAAAAAAAAAAAAAGAUAAAAAUGUUGUCACCUGUGGUUCAGAGGAACCUAACUCUAUAUUUCCCCUUAAGGGCAGUGGUUCAGUAUUUUCUAAUUCAGUGUUUUUAGUGGCUUUAUAGAACAUACCUAUCAUGAAUGAUGAGAAUUGAUUGUAGAUGUUAUCAUUACAAUCUCAAUUUUAUACAAGAGGAAAUGGAGUCCAAUCAGGUAAUUAGUGGCUGACAAGAGAUUAUGCCACCAGAAAUUGUAACUAAGACAUCCAAAAUAUUGCCAUUUUAACUACCACAGAUUCCUUUGUGUGUGAGUGGUGUGUGUGUGUGUGUGAGUGGUGUGUGUGUGUGUGUUGUAUGCAUACACGUGUAUGUGUAUAGUGAUAUUCAGGGGCAUAGCAGUGUUAAAAAUAAUUUUUUAAAGGUGAAGAAUAAAAGAUAUCAAAUCUUAUAAAAAUAAAGAAUGGAUACCUCUUAAUAGGUUAAUAUUAUUUAAAUAAAGCAGAGUCAAUAUUUGUUGUGAACUUUUAUACUGUUUGGUAAAUGAAUGUUUGUUAAUCACUGUUUGGCACUCAGAUGUUUUUUAGAAGCCAGAUAUCCCUUAGGCGCGUAGUCAGGGAGUUAGACCCUGGAAAUACCAUCACUGUGGCAUUUUCUAUAGUUUUUUCUCAUGAGAUUCCUUUGGAAAUAAGACACAUGCUACAGAUGCGUCCAAAUAUUUUUGUUUAAAUCUAGUAUUCUUUUAGUGAAGCUCAUCUCAAUAGACUAAUUUUCUUUCACACAUAGGAUGAUGGAUAAACAUAUCUGCCUGUGGUGGAGGAAGUUUCUUGAGAUGAGUGUUUCAAGCAAUAUAAAAGGACAUUGGAAGCAUUCUGAAUCCUCAAGAUGAGCACUUUGCAAGCGUAAAGAAGCCAACCUAAAAGAAGGACUGAGUGGGAAAUACAGGACAGUAAGAGGCCCUAACUAAAUUCAGCCACUUUAGUAUGUGGCUGGCACACACUAACUGAGGGCAAGAGCAGAAAAUACUCCUCUGGGUCUGUGUAAACGUGCUAAUACAUCUGACUGGAAUAUAAUAAAGUGGUUAUUUCUAUGUCUGACUGAAAGUUAUAAAGUCCUUAGAACCAGAAGCUGAAUGCAGGAAACCCAUGGUUGUCAUGGUAGCCAUGAAAUCUUUAGAUGCUUCCGAUUGACCCUUCUCACCUCUUAAUUUGGCAAAUAAUAUCUUCCCAAGAAGAUUGGUCUUACAGAGCAGUAAAAAGAGCUUUUAAAUAAAAGUUUAAUGAAACCCAGUUUCGGCAACAAUGCUGUAUUAGUUCGUUCUCACACUGCUAUGAAGAAAUACUCAAGACUGCGUAAUUUAUAAAGAAAAGUUUAAUUGACUCACAGUUCUGCAUGGCUGGGGAGCCCUCAGGAAACUUACAAUCAUGGCAGAAGGCACGUCUUCACAGGGCAGCAGGAGAAAGAAUGAGUACCAGCAGGGGAAAUGCCAGAUGCUUACAAAACCGUCAGAUCUUGUGAGAACUCACUUACUAUCUGGAGAACACCAUGGGAGAAAAUGCCCCCAUGAUCUAAUUACCUUCACCUCGUCCUGCCCUUGACACAUGGGGCUUAUGAGGAUUACAAUUCAAGGGGAGAUCUGGAUGAGAACACAGAACCAAACCAUAUCAGAUGCCCCAAAACAAACUUUUGUGUACUUCUUGCUGAAGAAGUGAGUUGAUGUGGAUUCUUUGGAAACAAUUAAAAAAUGUCUGUUACUUAAUUGGCAUUGGUAAUAUGUUCACAGUAAUUGCAGUUUAGAAAUAUAUUUUAAGAUUUAGCUGCACCCCAGAAAAUGCCACCUAAAUUUAUAGUGCCAGAAAACAGAUCAUUGGUUGCCUAGGGAAGGGGAUAGGAAGAAGGGUGUCAAUUCAAAGGGACAACUUUUGGGGCUGGUAUAUACAUUCACUGUGUUGAUUUUCAUGAUGGUUUGAAGAGUGGCAAAAUCUAGAAAAUUCUAUGCUUCAUACGCAAUCAUUACAUUUCAAUUAUACCUCAAAUCUGUUGAUAGAGAUAUGUACAAAUAUAAAAAAAUUUUGUCAAAAGUCCCUUGCAUGAUCAUUUGAAAAAGGACCAACCUGUACGCAAUCUCCUACAUGCAUUGUAUCUACCAAAAAAUUGUUAACUAGAAAAUAUUCACAAACUACCCUUUAUUCAUAAGUUACUUUAAAAAACAGAAUAAAUAAAAGUAUGUACAAAACAACACUAGAAGCAAAUUGAUAGAAAACUUACAGAGAAUGUUUUCUUUAUUCAAAAUGUGCACAUUUUCUAAUAUUGUUUUACUGUGAAUUUUAUUUUUUAAAAAGAAGAAAAAUAUUUUAACAGAUAAAUAAGACAUAGACACUAUGAAAGACUGUAUUCACUGAGUAAAUCAUGCCAAAUUAUUUCUUUGGUUGCUAUGGGGCAACUAAACUGUUAUAUUCUGUUGUUAAACUAAAGAGAAAGCAUUUUAAUUUAAGCAAAGUAUACAGCAAAGGGUUGAUUGUAUGUUGUUUGAGAAAAAAAAAAUGAUAGCUCAGUUUGCUUCACUUUGGCUAUGGUUUGAAUGUCCGUUCAAUUUUAAAGUCUGUGCAGUGCUAUUGGGAUCUAUCCUGAAUGUUUAUCCCCCAUGGAUAUGUAUGGGACUGGAAGGUUUUCUGUUACUUCACUUCUCAAAGUCUUUAUUUAGUUUGCUGACUAGGAUCAGAUUCACACAUGUGCAGCUCUGGGAAAGAAGCCCAGGAUUUUUAUGAAUAAUUUUAUGGCUUUGAUUUCCUGAGCCUUCUUUGCAAUUUCUGCAGUACUUUCUGGUUCCCCUGGGCUUCCCUUUUUAGUCCUUUGGCCAGAAAGUUGGUGUUUUCGUUACUUCACUCUGGCACAGACUUCUGUGGCUGUGCCCACAUCUGGGGUCAAAACAAAAUAGCAAGGAACAAUUGUGAAGAUAAUUCAGCUCACACUUUUAGGACCACAGCACCAUUGAUUGGACAGGAAGAUUUUGAUCCCUAAUACAUUUGGUUCCUGUGGGGUCCCUUGCAGGUGUUACUGUUAUAGACAGGAUUGUUUCGACCUAGGAAUAAAGGACCUCUGCUAGAACUCUCUGUGUCUCAGUGCUCACUUCAGGUUUUGGCUUAAUAUGACCUUAGGCAGGGGGUAAUAGAAAAAUAAAACUGGUAGACUCACCACUGAUUCCUUGAUGCUUCAAGUUGCCAUUCUUUCCUGACUUUCUGGCAACUAUUUGGUAUUCAGAGUUCUCAAACAGCAAAUGCAUGCAUUCUGCCCAGAUUUCAUAGCUGCAUUCAGAGGGAAAGACAUGGUGGAGUGUGCUUGCCCCAACGCUUAGAAUUAAAACCCAAACAAAUACUUUUUAUUUAAUAAAUUUGCUACAAGUCUUUUUCUAUUAAAUUCAGUUCCAGUGGGUCCCUUAACUGUUCCUUUGACUAAAGCAUAUGACUGGAGUCAAUAAAAUUUACAUAUUGUUAUGAUUUUACUUAAGAAUAUGUGCAUAUAAAUAUUUCACUUUAAAAUUAGCUUUAUGCAUAUCCAUUUUUCUCAAGCUCUCCCUUUGUUCACUUCAGCAGUGGUCCAGCCCUGAUUGUCUCUUUAAGUACGCUUGCCUACAGUUCAUAAAUCAUAACGUGUAGUUCAUAUCAAUGAUAUCAGCAAGCUUUAUUUUAAAUUUAAAAAUUAGUUUUGCAUUUUAAAAAGCUUUAGAACAGAGACUAUUUCUCUAGAUGCCAGAAAGCCUGUCAUUUUCUUUACGUAAUUCAAUUAAAUGCACGUGUACUAAAUGUGAAAAAUUGACAGAAGAGUUCUAAGGGUAUAGAAUGAACUAGCUGGGAAAUCUUUGAAUGUUCACAUGAAUGGUGGAUUAUUCCUGGAUAAGGGAGAUGUUUUACUAAUUAGCAUGCAUAUAUCAAUUUAUACAGUUUAGCCAAGGUUAUCCUAUGCUUUGGAAGCAAGCUUCAUGAAUUUGGAGACUAUGAACCAUUGGCCAGGGCCCAGGGGAGAUAGAAUAUCUGAAUAGUCUGGCUUAAAAUUAUUGUUUAAUUUUAAGGCCCAAAUAUUCAUCUUUAUACUUAUAUAACAAACAGAAAUUUGUUCAUGAAAGCUGGGGCUAAGUAGAUUUUCUUUUUUCUAUCAUUUAACACAGAUGCAAAGCUUGACCACUUCUGACCACCUUGACUGCUACCUACCCGGUCCAGGCCAAUGCCUUCUAUUAUCUUAUCAUUGCAAUAGCCUCCUAACUAGUCUCCUUGCUGCUGCUCUGUACUCUACAGUGGAAGAUCCAGAACAGAUAAAGUCAUCCUUUUAGGACUUCAAUCAGAUCAUGCUGCUCCUCUGUUCAAAACCCUUCAAUGAGAUCCCUUCUUCACUGCAGUAAAGCUGAACUCAAAGUCCUUACAAUGGCCCACAACACCAUUUGUUGGACUCAAGAUGUCUCUAACCAUAGCUCCUACUAAUAUUUUCUCUAUCUUCCCUGCUUCAGCCUUGUGGACCUCUCUGCAUUUGUCUGAACAUACCAGAGACACUUCUGUCUCAGCAGGACCUUUGUACUGGCUAUUCCCUUUAUUUGGGAUUCUCUUGUCCCCUGAACUCAUAUGGUUCAUUCCUCCCCUCCUUAAGUGGGAGCUUAAAGGAUAGAGUUCAACGAGGCCUUCCUGGCCACUUUAUUUAGAAUUGCAACUUUCUAUACCAUUGAUCCUUACUAUUCCUCUUCCUGGCUUUGUUUUUUUCUAUAAUUCUUAUCAUUAUCUGAUAUAUAGUGUAUUUUAUUUAAUUUAUACAUUAACAUAUUAUCUGUUUACCAUCUCCUAGAUGGUAAGCUACAAGAGAGCACAAAUUAAUGUCUGUUUUGUUCACUGCUAUUAUAUCCUCAGAGGGUAUAAGUGUGCAUAGCACUUAACAAAAUCUAAUAAAUAUUUAUUGAAUUAAUAGGUAAAUUCUUUAACAGGUGCUUGUAGAUAUAAGAGCAUGGUGCUUACUAUACUUAUACACUGGACAACACAAAACUGAUUCUGACAGCUCUCCAAUAUCGAUAGAUUUCUAAUCAAUAUUAUUCAACAAAGUUCUUCAGAUAAGAAGUGGAGUGAGUUCUGCCUCUUCUGGAUUUCCUUCACAAUACAGGGGAGUUUGAUUAUAGUUAUAUGGGGUUGUUACAAAGCCACUGGAGUCCAUCUCUGGAACAUUUUUCAUACUUAUAUUUGACUUUCCAGUCUUAAGGCAAUUGCCCUAGAUUCUGGUCUCAUUAACUCUCAGCUUUUUUAUGACAGUAACUUCAUAACUGGCUUUCCAAUUUGUCUUAUUCCCCCAGUCUAUCAUACACAUUGCUUUUUAAGUAAUCUUCAUAAAGGAUGGCUCCAAUUUUGUCAGCACCCCCACUGAAAUGUUAUUUCAUAGCAUUUGGGGACUUUCAUUAUCUGUUUGUUUUUUUGCCUUAACUACCAGAAAUGAUUCCAUACUAAAUGUAUUUUCUUCUAUGCAAUUAGAAUCUCUUUACUCUCUAAACCUAUCUGAUAUUUUUCAUCUUCCAAGCUUUUGUCCAAUGCUAUUCCUGUAUUUGUCAGUGUGUGAUCCCACCCAAGUAGUCCUGGGUCAUAAGUAUGUAUAUAGAAUUGAAAUCUGUGUUAAUGUCAUUCUGUGGGAGAACCCAUCUAUAGCUUCCUUCAUGUAACUCACAGAUUGUCUAGAAGGAGGGAUCUAAAAAAUUUGCUGAUUCCAUUCAAGCUGUCCACUGGAUUGUCUUCCAUCUUCCAAACUCCAAGGAAUACCUCCAACCACAUUCCACGAGGAAGUGGGAGAAUGAAGAAUGGGGGUGCCCAUAUUCAAAGCAGUGACCCUGCUCUUCAGCAGUACUUGGUAUCGGUAUUUAGUUGGUUCUAACUUGACCCCCCUCAAAGUUUCCUCUCAGCCAAUAUCCUAGGAAAACCCAUCCUCAUUACACCCGUUAAAUGUUUCAAAAGCCUAUAAAUUUUGUGACUUCUUCUUCUUACAGCUGGGAGUGGUAAGUAUGCCCUUAACAAACCUAUUAGGGAGCUCAACGAAUAAACAGAAAAUUAAAGUUCUACUGCUAAGAUAUUUUAAAACAUGGUCAGCACACAGGAUGGUCAUUUGACUCCACGGGAGAGAUUGUGAAAAAGCUUUAGGAUGGGUUUAACUUCUUUCUUUUCUUCUUUUCCUGAUUUAUUUCAGUCUCUGCUCCACCUCCUCUUUCUCAUUCUGUGUGCGUGUGUGUGUGUCUUAGUAGAUGUGUAGAGAGCAGCAUAUAAAUUGAAUAGAGAUGAAGUUAAAAUGGAGGUUGAGAUUUUUAUUGGAAGGCAUGAAAUAAGAAUUAUAUUUUUCAUUGUUAUAAAAAUGAUUAUGAAUUUGGAAAGACCUUCCAAAUCAAUCAUAUACAGGAUGAAAUAACCCAUAACAGGCACAUAUGGCAAAACAUAUGUGGCCUAAUUAUUGGUCAUACUGUAAAUGGCAGAGAUACCCUGUGAAGGCCUGGAUGGUUAACAAAAAGAAUGACAGAAUUAUUUAAAAUGAUGAAUGAAGUAAGGGGAAGAAGGAAGUGAGAUAAAGUGUGGUAUGUGGAAAAAAAUCUCUAGAUUUAAGUUUCUACUGAGUUCACCCCCCCACCCCCAACUUUGUAAAAUAGGAAUUACAGUUCAUGGCUGCUGCCUGGAUAUAGAGCUUUUGUCAAGAUGAAAUGAGAUAAUAUUUGUGAUAGCAUUUUGAAAAACUCAUGCAUUUUCUACAGAUUACGGUAUUAGUAGCAACUCUUUAAAAGUCAAGGCACUUACCAUAUCUCAAAGUAUUAAAAGAUAAAGUACUUAUUUUCAGAAUUAAGUUUUAGACCAUGUACAAUUAUGCAAUUUUUAGUUUGUUAAAAUGAUUUUUAAGCUUGGAAAAAUUUGGGGACAAUUCUAGAAAGGCUAAAAUUUGGGCUGCUCCUUGACCCAGGUUUCCUAAAUGGUGCCCCAGAUCAAUUGCCUAUAGUUAAGUAGAUGGAGAAAGUGUAGCAUGAUUGUAAAGUUUCAUAAUAAGUCCACGGCAUUAUUAAGGAAUGAUGUAAUGUUAGGUUCUUUUGAUGUAUUAUGUAUUCUUGGCAGGUCUCUUUAGCCAUUUCCAAUUUUGAACACUUUUGCUCUCUUGGUUUCUUUGUUUUCUUACUAAUUGAUUUUAUUUGGGAUAAUAAAAAAGAACCAAAAAAAGCAGCUUAAAAAUAAUUUAAUCCUUCUUUUUAGUUUUAUGUUUUAUCAAUUUUAGUUUUGCUUUUUAUUAUUUAUUUCUUCCUACUCUCUGUUGCGGGAAGUCAGGGACCCCGAACGGAGGGACCAGCUGAAGCCAUGGCAGAAGAAUGUGGAUUGUGAAGAUUUCAUGGACAUUUAUUAGUUCCCCAAAUUAAUACUUUCAUAAUUUCUUACACCUGUUUUUACUGCAAUCUCUGAACAUAAAUUGUGAAGAUUUCAUGGACACUUAUCACUUCCCCAAUCAAUACCCUUGUGAUUUCCUACGCCUGUCUUUACUUUAAUCUCUUAAUCCUGUCAUCUUCAUAAGCCUCAGGACCCUGUGAUGGUUGUGUUAACUGCACAAAUUGUUUGUAGAGCAUGUGUGUUUGUUUGAACAAUAUGAAAUCUGGGCACCUUGAGAAAAGAACAGGAUAACAGCAAUGUUCAGGGAACAAGAGAGAUAACCUUAAACUCUGACUGCCGGUGACCCGGGUGAAACAGAGCCAUAUUUCUCUUCUUUCAAAGGCAAAUGGGAGAAUUGUCGCUGAAUUCUUUUUCUCAGCAAGGAACAUCCCUGAGAAAGAGAAUGCAUCCCUGAGGGUAGGCCUCUGAAAUGGCCGCUUCGGGGGCAGCCGUCUUUUAUGGUCGUAGUUGUAGGGAUGAAAUAAGCCCCAGUCUCCUGUAGUGCUCCCAGGCUAGUAGGAUGAGGAAAUUCCCGCCUAAUAAAUUUUGGUCAGACUGGUUGUCUGCUCUCAAACCCUGUCUCUUGAUAAGAUGUUAUCAAUGACAAUGCGUGCCCGAAACUUCAUUAGCAACUUUAAGUUCGCCCCGGUCCUGUGGUCCUGUGAUCUCGCCCUGGCUCCAUUUGCCUUGUGAUAUUCUAUUACCUUGUGAAGCAUGUGAUCUCUGUGACCCACACCCUAUUCGUACACUCCCUCCCCUUUUGAAAAUCACUAAUAAACACUUGCUGGUUUUGCGGCCUGGGGGGCAUCAUGGAACCUGCCAACAUGUGAUGUCUGCCCCAAGACACCCACCUUUAAAAUUUCUCUCUUUUGUACUCUGUCCCUUUAUUUCUCAGACCAGCCGACACUUAAGGAAAAUAGAAAAGAACCUACAUGAAAUAUCAGGGGUGAAUUUUGCCUGAUAUCUGGCUGAAUUUCCCCUGAUAACUUUCUUUGGUUUUUAAACUUUUUUUAAUUUGAGUAUUUUCUUUAAUAUCUCUUCUUUAAUGCUAUAGUCAUUUUGAUGGUACAUUUUGCUGUCUUUACAUUCUGAUAAGACAGUGUUUUCUGUUUGUUGUUUUCUAGAUAAUGAGUGAUUUCAGUUUUUUAUUUAUUCUUUGACAUUUUAGAAAUAUGUUUCUUAAUUUUCAAAGAGUCAGAAUGUUUGUGGUUAACACUAAAGUUCUUUUUCUAAAUUUUGGGGGAACUAAGGUUAUAGUUUUGGAACUUUAUUAGUUAUUUGGCUAAAUAAAACAGUUUUUAAAGAUUUAGGAAAUUUUCACAGUGUCCUAAAAACAUAUAUUUUAUGAUAGAUUUAUUAAAUAGAGUUGUUGAUUUUAUUUGUUUAAUUCCCCUAUGUCCUUGCUUAUUUUUACUUGCUAGUGCUGUCAGAUUGUUAAAUAGUUAUUAAAAUAUUACCAUUGUUCCCAUUUAGCCUAUUUUCAUUGCAUUUAUAAUACUUUUUGAAUUAAUGUUGAGCAAAUAUUAUUAUAAUAUUGUUUCAAUGUUUAUAUAUAUUUCAUAAAUUAAGCAUUGUAUCAGUAUAUCAUUUUUCUUUUUUACUAUGUUUUGUGUUUUCAUUGAUUUUUGUCUUACUUAUUUGGAUAAAAGUUUUCUGUCUUCCAUUGUCUACUUUUUAGCUUUGUCAAUUUACACAGGUUUUGACAAUGCCCACCCUCUCCUUCAAUUCAUCUCUAGAAUAUUUUUAUUGCAAAACAAUGUUUUCAAUUCUUUGAAGGUUUUUUUUUUUAUGCUGGAACUGAGCAAAUGUCCUUGCUAUUCUUUUUUUUUUUGUUCAAGUGAUCAACUGUUUUUUCAUACAGUUACAUUCCACUUGGAGCAAUUUUUAUAGAAAUGUUGUCUUCCUACUUCCAUAAUGUGGACUUCUUCAUUGAGGAUCAUGUUUAGCAGCUGAGAUAAUUUACACAGAAGGGAUCUUCUAAGUAAAGGCAGGACUAGCAUCUGUCCCUAUAGGCCAGCUGCUACAGACCUGAAAAUUGUCAUUCCUCUGUUAGGGCAUCAGAUGCAAAGGCUGUCACCCUCUAGCUCUCAAGAUUCAGGCAGAAUCUGCUGGCUUUUUAGCUCUCUGCAGCUCUCCUGUAGCCAGAUCACCCCAGGAUACUCAUGAGGCUUAGCUACUCCUCCAUUCAGGGCAAGAUUGCAACUUACAGUUGUGUUUUGAAGGAAAAUAAAUACAGGCCAAAUUCUUGCUUUUGCUCUGCUCCCCAAGCCUGAACACCAGCAUUAGACUAUGUACAGGGGCACCUAGUUUUUUAUAUAAAGAGCGCUUUCUGCUUAGCAAGCUGUCUGCCCAGAGGAGGGAUUUUAUUUUGAAUCACCCAUCGGAAAUAAGCACCUUUUCCUAGUUUCCCAGAGGCAGUGUGUAGGCCAGUGAAGGCCCUCCCUUUGGCGUCUACAAAUCUUCUUAUACAAAAUGUUCUCUCUUUCUCCCUCUCUGUCUGUCUGUCAUGAAUCAUUACCCUGGAAUUCUCAACUGCAAGUCUCCUGGCUCAUUUUAGGAUCCAGGACUGAAAGAAAAAAGGAUGAGAAUCCUUUACUAGCGCUAGCCAUCCUGGACCCUCACAGUUUCAAAAGUCUUACUUGGGCCCUCCAGACCACUUCCUUGAGACUCUAGAGUCAGUUUAGCUCAGAAGAAGUAAUUAAUUAUUAAAUUGGAGUUGAAUGGGUAUGAACAACACAGACUCAUUUAGGAAGCCGUUUUUGCAGCAUCCUAUAGAAUCUCUCUGGAUUUUGAAUUCUUAAAGGCUGUUUAAGUAUCAACUAUGGCAGAGUAUAAACUAAAUAACAUUCAUUUCAUGCAUGCCAGACUCACCUGGCACGUCUCUUUUACUUGCUUUGUCAGUCUAGCCACUCCAACUUCUUUUAGUGCCUCCUCAAAUAUUCUGUGCUUCUUAAAGACCCAAAGGUCUUGAUUCAUGUAAUCUGUUCCUUUUACAUUGCUCUCCAUACUGCAUUUCUCAGACCAGGAUACUCAUUCCAGGUAGGCUUUCUUGAAGACCUCAGCCAGGUGAGGGCUGUGGACUAGGCCACCCUCUGCAUUACACCUAUCAUAGCAUCUGGUAUGAGCAUCCAUCUCUUGCCCUAGAUUGCAAGCUCCAUGCAGACACAAGACCAUAUCUGUUCUAUUUCUCCUUGUGUCUACAGCAACUAACUGAAACAGUGCUUAAACAGUAGAAACCAAUGGGGUUUUUCGCAUGACUAAAACCAGGAAGAAACCCAGGUGCUGCAUGAAAGUUUUUCUAAGAGAUCAAAAAUCUCAAGAAUAUUUGAAGAUAAAAUUUGGUGGUUGUUAAGUGAAGGAAUCUCAUGCUAAACGUUCUUACAUUAAGAAAUGGCAUUGCCCAACAUAUUGCUGUGAAAAAAUUCAAACAUACUGCCAAGUUAAACUUAUAGUGAUCAUCCAAUACGCCUAGUUUCUACCAUUAGAAUUUGGCAUUGCUUGUUUUAUUACAAAUCUGUCCAUCUACCUAUUCCUAUAUCUAUCUUUUAAUUCAUAAUAUUCAAUAAAUUGCAAAGUAAAUUGCAGACUUAAGUACAUUUCUCCUUAAAUAUUUCUAUGUACAUUAUUAAUUAUAGUUAAAACUUUUUAAUUUUUUUACUCUUUUGAAGUAAUAAUUCACAGACAAUGAAAUGCACAAAUCUUAACUAUUAAUUUACUCAGUUUUUGAUGAACGCACACACAUGUCACACAAAUACAAUAUCAACAUAUAUAGAUUAUUAUCACCUCAGAGAGUUACUGCAUACCCUUUCUGAAAGUCAUUUGUAAAAAUAGUAUAAUACUACACUGCAUUUUUCACUAAACUCUUAUAAAUUUAAAUGAGUGAUAAAGAAAUACAUAAAGAUAGUAAUACAACCAAGCAACACUACUAUUGGACAAUGUAAUUUAAUUUAGCUGAAAUCUUAAAAAAUUAAGAGAAUGUAUCCUUUAUAAUCUGUAAUAUGCUUUUUUUAGUGACUUCUUCCUCCAUAAUUAUCUAAGUUCCUACUAUUUUUGAGGAUUUCACCUUAGUAGAAAAAGAAAGAUAUCCGUUUGAACUCUUUCAAUACAUGAAUCAGGCUGAUAGUCUCACCUCCUUUUAAGGAGGCUUUUGCGAAUAGUGGAUAGAGCAUAGAUUUUGGUGAAUAAUCUAUUUUAUCCAGGUGAAUGACUUUAGUAAGUUAUAUAACUUUUUGAUACAUAGUUUCAUUAUUUGUAAAAUGUAGAAUAUAAUACUCACAGAAUUUGGGGAGUGAUUGAGAAGUAAGUGUCGAUCAUGAAAUGAAAUAAUACACUAUAAAACUGAAAUCUAGUUCAUUUUUCUCUUAUCUUUGAGCUCCUUAUAUUUGGGUGCUUUAUGUGUUAAAAGAUUAUAAAACAAAAUUAAUCUAUGCUUAGGGCAAUGGCAGGAAGAGAAAAAUGAAGAUGUUUUUAAGUUUUUUAACAUAAGCACCAAAACCUAUAUUAUUUUUACUAUACCCUGAAGCCUUCUUAAAAAGAGGUAAGACUAAAAGUCUUAUCUAUUUAUCUAUCUAUCUAUCUAUCUAUCUAUCUAUCUAUCUAUCUACCUAUCUAUCUAUCAUCUCUCUAUCUAAACAGAGUGUGUGUUUUUCAGGAUACCUUCGAUUUAUACCACAUAGGUACCUCUAUGUAUGACACUGCCAAAUGAUCCUCUAAUUAAGUGCUUUGAAUCUCAGAAAAGUUUGUUUUCAAUUACUUCAUAAUGCUAUUGUAGAAAAAAAGAAAAGAAAAAAAGAGUGGCUCUAGAGCAAGGUGGCUCAGAAAUGAUUCUCCAGAAUGCUUGUCUUCGUAUCUCUAUCAACUACUACAUGCGUAAUAGUGGGCCAGUUACCACCAUCCUGUGCCUCAAGUUGUUUUUUUUUAAUGUGUAAAAGACAAGCAAUAAUAUUUCUUACUUCAUUGUGCUGUUGCAUUGAUAUACUGUCUUUAUGUAAGUUCUUAGAAUACUACCUGGCAUAUAGUAAAGCCUCAAUAACAUGAGUUGUUAUUAUUAAAAACAGGCAGACAUAGGUUGAAAUAUAUCACUUAUAUUCUGUGUGACCUUGAACAAGUUACUUCUCUGAGAUUGUUAACAUAUUAGUACACAUAAUUAACAAAAUAUGAAAUAAUAAUAUUUGGAGGACAGUGUCACAUAGUCAGUGACUAAUAAUUGUUUUUGUUGCACUUUUCUGUUUUAAAUCAAGAUUUUAUCUUGAUUGAAAAUUAGAUUUUUCAAACACAUUGAUGCCUACAAUGACUGUUUCACCAGCUACUGAAGACCAGAAUUUUGGGAACCUUUGCCCCAGAGAAACCAUAAACACUGGCCAGAGAGAAUUAAAUUAAGAAAUGUUAGAUCACAUUUAAUUCUACUGCAUUAGCAUUAAUUUUGCCAUAUCUUUUUAGAAAAAUGCUGGGGAUUAGAUGCAUUAUUACAUUUAUUAUUCUAAUUAUUAUUAUUGUUGUUUGUUGGGUUCUUGAGAGUGCUUUUAUUUCCCUUCUUACUUUUCAUAUAAUAAAUGGCUUUGGAGUUUACCUUACAUGAUGGGUAUAUUUUUAAAAUAUUAUAUCUUUGUUUUUAUAAUUCUAUUUAAAAUUAUUUUGUUAUAGAUGAUACAAUUUCUUUUCUAUAAUGUUCUAUGUGUAGCUAAUAUUAUUUGCCAAUUUUGACAAAACUGUAAAAUUACUGUCUUAUACUUUUGCUACUAGUGUCUAUUACAAAUAGAUUUUUAAACUGAGAUUUUUUAAAAAGGAAAAAAAUAAAGAGC